AGCGCGCUCCUGGAGGCUGCGGAGGUGUUUUGUUCAUUCAACUCAAUUCAACAAUUCAGUUUGGCCCUGAUGAGUUUGGCCUAGGCUGGGUGUCUUUUGCAUUUCGACAAAAAUCCUGUUGCAGACAUAAAUAAAAUAGACAUGGUUGUAAAUUUAACUGGACAGGCAGCAUUGCACUUCCCUGUUAAGAAAUCACACAUUUAUACUGCUAAAGCUCUUGGUGGAAUGAUGUGGUUUUGGAUAUUCUGGAGACUAAAGCAUGAUUGGGGACAUUUUGUUGGUCAUCAUGAAGAGGUAUUUGCUGGCAUAGAAGAGCGCAAAAGAAAAAUCUUAGCAAGUCAAAAGAAACUACAGAAUGAAUGAAGACAUAGCCUCAUAAAAAAUUGCGCGAGACAUUUAAUUUUGUUUUCUGUUUGUAUGCGAGAGUGUUUAAUAUCAAAUUCAGCUUAGUG